CGCGUGCACUGGUCCGGCCGGGCCUUUCCCUCUGGGGAACCGCAUGCUCUUCACUGAGUGUGCUGGGGAACCAGGACUUUUACUUUGAAAAAAUUAGAGUGUUCAAAGCAGGCCUAUGCUCGAAUACAUUAGCAUGGAAUAAUAGAAUAGGACGUGCGGUCCUAUUUUGUUGGUUUCUAGGACCGCCGUAAUGAUUAAUAGGGACAGUCGGGGGCAUCAGUAUUCAAUUGUCAGAGGUGAAAUUCUUGGAUUUAUUGAAGACUAACUACUGCGAAAGCAUUUGCCAAGGAUGUUUUCAUUAAUCAGGAACGAAAGUUAGGGGAUCGAAGACGAUCAGAUACCGUCGUAGUCUUAACCAUAAACUAUGCCGACUAGGGAUCGGACGAUGUUACUUUUUGACUCGUCCGGCACCUUACACGAAAGUACAAGUUUCUGGGUUCUGGGGGAAGUAUGGUCGCAAGGCUGAAACUUAAAGAAAUUGACGGAAGGGCACCCACCAGGAGUUAAGGUCCCGCAGACUCUGCUCCUUAAAGCAGCCUUUAACAAGGUUAGGUGGAUAAGCCCGGCCUGUGAAACGGCCUGAACAAAGUGCUAGUCGCCUACAAUGGCGGCGAUGUCCUCAAAUUGCGGGGAACGCCUAGGCAAUCUGCUCCUAAGGAGCACCCGAAAGGGUGCUCUGGCGCUGGCAUAACGGCCAGCGGUACAGGGACAACGCAGGUGUGCUG
rnacentral:rRNA from 1 species